CCUGUCAGGGUGGUAAGGAACUGGCACAAGUUGCCCAGAGAAGCUGUGGACUCCCCAUCCCAGGAAGUGUUCAUGGCCAGGUUGGAUUGGAUUUUGAGCAGCCUGGAAUAGUGGAAGAUAUCCCUGCCCAGGG